GCCUCGGUAGCUCAGCAGGUAGAGCAUUUGGCUGUUAACCAAAGGGUCGACGGUUCGAGUCCGUCCCGAGGCG
rnacentral:tRNA from 1 species